rnacentral:rRNA from 1 species
GACGAACGCUGGCGGCGUGCUUAACACAUGCAAGUCGAACGGAAAGGCCCUGCUUUUGUGGGGUGCUCGAGUGGCGAACGGGUGAGUAACACGUGAGUAACCUGCCCUUGACUUUGGGAUAACUUCAGGAAACUGGGGCUAAUACCGGAUAGGAGCUCCUGCUGCUUGGUGGGUGUUGGAAAGUUUCGGCGGUUGGGGAUGGACUCGCGGCUUAUCAGCUUGUUGGUGGGGUAGUGGCUUACCAAGGCGUUGACGGGUAGCCGGCCUGAGAGUGUGACCGGCCACAUUGGGACGGAGAUACGGCCCAGACUGCGACGGGAGGCAGCAGUGGGGAAUAUUGCACAAUGGGCGGAAGCCUGAUGCAGCAACGCCGCGUGCGGGAUGACGGCCUUCGGGUUGUAAACCGCUUUCGCCUGUGACGAAGCGUGAGUGACGGUAAUGGGUAAAGAAGCACCGGCUAACUACGUG